UAUCUAAUAGUAAGAAGUCUAAAAAAAUAAAUCCUUUUUAUAUACAUUCGAACCACUGUUGGUCAUAUUGCUAUUUAUCGAGAAAUCGAAGAAGCUAUACAGGGGUUUUCUCGAGCCUAUUCAUAUGGUAGCUAACGUAAUUCUAUGAUACCUUGGGACUUCGAGGAUCUCCAAUUCAGCUAGGUACAUAGUUUUGGAAUUUAUACGCGAAUCAAGAUUGAUAAAAGGAAGUUUUACAAUUAUCGACUCAAAUCCAUUGUCGAAUCCUACUCAGUGGAAUAUGGAGGUACUUAUGGAAGAACGGGCCAAUCUGGUCUUUCAUAAUAAAGCGAUAGGUGGAACUUCCAUGAAAUGACUUAUUAUUAGAUUAAUAAAGCACUUUGGAAUGGCAUAUACAUCACAUAUCCUGGAUCAAGUAAAAACUCUGGGGUUCCAACAAGCCAUUGCUACAUCCAUUUCAUUAGGAAUUGAUGACCUUUUAAUAAUACCUUCUAAGGGAUGGCUCAUUCAAGAGGCUGGACAACAAAGUUUGAUUUUGGAAAAACACCAUCAUUAUGGGAAUGUACACAUGGUAGAAAAAUUAUAUCAAUCCAUUGAAAUAUGGUAUGCUACAAGUGAAUAUUUGCGAUAAGAAAUGAAUCCGAAUUUUAGGAUGACUGACCCUUUUAAUUCAGUUCAUAUAAUGUCUUUCUCUAGAGCUAGAGAAAAUGCAUCUCAGGUACAUCAAUUAGUAGGUAUGAGAGGAUUAAUGUCGGAUCCUCAAGGACAAAUGAUCGAUUUACCUAUUCAAAGCAAUUUGUGUGAAGGACUCUCUUUAACAUAAUACAUCAUUUCUUACUACGGAGCUUGUAAAGGAGUUGUGGAUACUGCUGUAUGAACAUCAGAUAUCACUCGCAAACUAGUUGAAGUAGUUCAACAUAUUGUACAAAAUCUCUAUUUGCCUUUGCCAUUUUAUGAGUCCCUUCCUUUUUGCAUAUGGCAUCGCCACUCCCUUUGGCAGCAUCCGUUGAUUCAAAACUUAAUUUGAAAGCCAUAUUUCGACCCGAACAUUUUUGGGAUGUCGCUAAUAACCAACGAAUGGAAAGUGUUUUUCCUUUUGUGGAUCCUAUUUCAAUGGGAACUUGAUGAGUCGAUCUACCUACACGUCUUGCUUUUACUGUUAUAUCGGGAGUUACUCCACGUAUUGCUUGGCAUAAAAUAGAUAGUGGAUUUAUUUCCGUCUUUUGUUGAGUCUUUUUCACGGCUCGAUAGAUAAUUCGAUAAGCCAAUUAUUUCUUUCUAUGUUUUUGAAUACGGUUAACCAAUAUGUUAACUAAUCAAUUACGAUAAAUUGGAUUGGAUUUUGCUAUUUUUUUCUACAGUACCUCGAUAUGACAUGAGCGUGAAAGGGGUUCAAGAAUCAAUUUUCUUUUUAUAAGGGCUAAAAUCACUUAUUUUGGCUUUUUUACCCCAUAUUGUAGGGUGGAUCUCGAAAGAUAUGAAAUAUCUCCCUCCAAGCCAUACAUACGACUUUCAUAGAAUACGACUUUCUGCAGAAUUCUAUAUGUAUCUAUGAGAACGAGUAUGGAAUUCUGUUUUCUCACUUUAAAUUGAGUAUCCGUUUCCCUCCCUUUCCUGCUAGGAUUGGAAAUCCUAUAUUUUACAUAUCCAUACGAUUGAGUCCUUGGGUUUCCAAAAUAGUGUAAAAAAGGUGCUUCGAAUCAUUGCUAUUUGACUCGAACCUGUUCAAAAAAGUCGAGGUAUUUUGAAUUGUUUUUUGACACAGACAAAGUCAGGGAAAACCUCUAAAGUUAUUUCAAUAUUGAACCUUAGACAUAUAAGAGUUUCGAAUCGAAUCUCUUUAGAAAGAAGAUCUUUUGUCUCAUGGUAGCCUGCUCCAGUCCUCUUAUGAAACUUUUGUUAUUGGCUUAGCCAUACACUUCACAUUUUUCUAGUGAUUGACAUAGCAUCAUCAAAUGAUACAAGUCCUGGAUAAGAAUCUACAACGCACUAGAAUGCCCUUGUUGAUGAUCCUUUACUCCGACAUCAUCUAGGGUUCCUCAAAUAAUGUGAUAUCUCACAUUCGGUAAAUCCUUAACCCUUCCCCCUCUUACUAAGACUAAAGAAUAUUCUUGUGAAUUAUGGCCAAUACCGGGUAUAUAAGAAGUGAUUUCAAAUCCAGAGGUUAAUCGUAAUCUGGCAACUUUACGUAAGGCAGAGUUUGUUUUUUUUGGGGUGAUAGUGGAAAAGUUGACAGAUAAGUUACCCUUACUGCCACUCUACAGAACCGUACAUGAUAUUUUCACCUCAUACAGCUCCUCAUUUAAUUCUUUCGAAUUCAUUGGAUCCUUUUCCGCGUUCGAGAAUCCCCUCCUUCUUCCACUCCGCCCUGAAGAGUAACUAGGACCAAUUUAGUCAUGUUUUCAUGUUCCAAUUGAACACUUUCCAUUUUUGAUUAUUCUCAAAGGAUAAUAUUAUUCUCUUUACCAAACAUAUGCGGUGAUCUUAUAUAUAAGAAGAACAAAAGAUCUUUCUUCAUCAAUCCUUUUGCCAAGAUAACCUUUGAGGUACCUCUAGAUCCUUUUCAAGUUUGAAUUUGUUCAUUUGGAAUCUGGGUUCUUCUACUCCAUAUUUAUUUAAUAUGAAUAUCUUCCCUCUCUUUUUUUUAUAUCAUUCCUUAAGUCCCACAGGUUUGAUCUUGUAGAAUUUGACCCAUUUUCUCAUUGAAUGAAAGGUAUGAAAUAAAUCAGAUUGAUAAUAGUACCUUGUGAAAUCUUUGAUUUUCCCCUUCCUCAAUCCCUAUCCCAUAGGUAAAGUGUUUGAAUCAAUAGAUAACCUUUUCAUCUGUAUGAAUCAAUAUUAUUCCAUUCCAAAUCCUUCCUGAUAGCUCCCAAGGAAAAUUUCGAAUUUGGAUCCCAAAUUGACAGGUUAGUGUGAGCUUAUCUAUGUGGUUAUGCACUCUUUGAAUAGGAAUCCAUUUUUUGAAAGAUCUUGGAUUUUGUAAUUCGGUGGGUCUCCGAGAUCCUUUCGAUGGCCUAUGUUGAAGUUUAUUACUUUAGGAAUUCCAACAAUUUGUUUAACCGAUACAAAUUGUGACCCCGAUCUUACAGAUAUUUCAAUUCCAGCGAAUGAUGAUGCCAUAUCCUCAAUCUAAUUAAUUCUUAAUAAAUUAGUAUUCGUAAUUUAUGAGGGUCAUUCUAGAUAUAUAAGAAAUCCUUGAUUAAUAAUAACAUAAUCUUACUUCAGAAAUCCCUUAUGGAAUCGCUUACUAUUUUUGAAUUUCAAAAAAGAGAUAAAAAUAACUGGGGAUAUUAUGUGAUUUAUUAGUAUUAUAAAUCUUAGUUGGUAUUACAAAUAUCCGAUUCAAGUAGACAAAGAGAUGGGUGAAUCAAAAAAUUUUGUUUAAAGUUCAAUUUUUGUAGAGGGCAAGUCAAUAUGAAUGUUCUAUCAUGUUCUAUCAAUACUCUACAGGGGUUAUACAAUAUAUCCGUUGUGGAAGUAGGCCAACAUUUCUAUUGGCAAAUAGGGGAUUUUCAAGUACAUAGCCAAGUACUUAUUACUUCUUGGGUUGUAAUUGCUAUCUUAUUAGGUUCAACCACUAUAGCUGUUCGGAACCCACAAACCAUCCCGACCGGGGGUCAGAAUUUCUUCGAAUAUGUUCUUGAAUUCAUUCGAGAUGUGAGUAAAACUUAAAUUGGAGAAGAAUAUGGGCCCUGGGUUCCUUUUAUUGGUACUAUGUUUUUAUUUAUUUUUGUUUCUAAUUGGUCAGGAGCUCUUUUACCUUGGAAAAUCAUACAAUUACCUCAUGGGGAGUUAGCCGCACCCAUGAAUGAUAUAAAUACUACUGUUGCUUUGGCUUUACUCACAUCAGUGGCAUAUUUCUAUGUGGGUCUUAAAAAAAAGGAAUUAGGUUAUUUCGUAAAAUAUAUUCAACCAAGCCCAAUCCUUUUACCUAUUAACAUCUUAGAAGAUUUCACAAAACCCUUAUCAAUUAGGUUUUGACUUUUCGGGAAUAUCUUAGCUGAUGAAUUAGUAGUUGUUGUUUUUGUUUCUUUAGUACCCUUAGUAGUUCCUAUACCUGUGAUUCUCCUUGGAUUAUUUACAAGUGGUAUCAAGCUCUUAUUUUUGCAACUUUAGCCGCGGCUUAUAUAGGUGAAUCCAUGGAGGGCCAUCGUUGAAAAAGUCUUUUUUAGCUUAGCCCACAGCAAUUCGAGACGAAUUCCUAAAAUUCCCUUUUCCUUCGCUUAAUAUCAUACUUCGUCUCAAUGAAUAUUCACUUUAGAUUGCUUAGUCCAUCUCAUUAUUAUAUUAACUUAACUCAUUAUUAAUUUAUUGUUAAAACAAUUUGAAUAUAAGAAUUUUUGUCAAUAAUUCUUGUUGUAUAGGUUUACGACGUGUAAUUAAAUAAAAUAAAGGGCGAAAUGAUUUCCCUUUUAGUUGAUUUUAUUCAACGAUUGACCAAAAUACUAAAAAUGAAUAAAAAAAUUAUUCAUUUUUAUUAAUAAAUUGCAUGAACAUAGAUCAACCAAAUAAUGAUAUUUCUAUGACAUAUGGAAUUAUUUGGCCUAAUCAAUUUUUCCAUUUAGAUUUAUAUAGGUGGAAUAACAAGAAAAGGUAAUAUUCAAAAGAAUUUACAAAAAAGGAAUUUUGUUUAGCAUUUAGAAAAGGUCGGUUAAGAGAGGAAGGUAUCUGUACUUGAAUAACUAUAAGCCAAACCUUCUAGAUGUUUCGAUGCUUGAUUCUCCAAUAGGAUUGAAUCUAAGAUGAAUGCUUGGUUUACGUUAUGGAAGAAAGACAUGUAUAUGUGAUAUUAGAUAUUGACUCGUGCUAGUUAUAUAUGAAAUGAACUAAAGAUAUAUUUUACUACUCUAGGGGAUUCUAAUAGACUAGAAGUCCUUUCGGCCCUUUAUGACUGUGAAUUGAAUGAAUAAACGGAUAAAAUCAAGAAAUAAUUCAACUAAUAGUUCGAACCAAGAACAAGAAAUGGGAGAACAAAAAUCGUAUGGGUUCACAAAGACUCU
rnacentral:lncRNA from 1 species